rnacentral:rRNA from 1 species
GACGAACGCUGGCGGCGUGCUUAACACAUGCAAGUCGAACGGAAAGGCCCUGCUUUUGUGGGGUGCUCGAGUGGCGAACGGGUGAGUAACACGUGAGUAACCUGCCCUUGACUUUGGGAUAACUUCAGGAAACUGGGGCUAAUACCGGAUAGGAGCUCCUGCUGCAUGGUGGGGGUUGGAAAGUUUCGGCGGUUGGGGAUGGACUCGCGGCUUAUCAGCUUGUUGGUGGGGUAGUGGCUUACCAAGGCUUUGACGGGUAGCCGGCCUGAGAGGGUGACCGGCCACAUUGGGACUGAGAUACGGCCCAGACUCCUACGGGGGGCAGCGGUGGGGAAUAUUGCACAAGGGGCGGAAGCCUGAUGCAGCAACGCCGCGUGGGGGAUGACGGCCUUCGGGUUGUAAACCGCUUUCGCCUGUGACGAAGGGUGAGUGACGGUAAUGGGUAAAGAAGCACCGGCUAACUACGU